AUUGAACGCUGGCGGCAGGCCUAACACAUGCAAGUCGACCGAGUGGCGGACGGGUGAGUAAUGUCUGGGCAACUGCCUGAUGGAGGGGGAUAACUACUGGACCCGGUAGCUAAUACCGCAUACCAUCGGAUGUGCCCAGAUGGGAUUAGCUAGUAGGGGGGGUAAAGGCUCACCUAGGCGACGAUCCCUAGCUGGGGUGAGAGGAUGACCAGCCACACUGGAACUGGGACACGGUCCAGACUCCUCCGGGAGGCAGCAGUGGGGAAGAGUGAACAAGGGGCGCAAGCCGGCUGCAGCCAUGCCGCGUGUAUGAAGAAGGCCUUCGGGUUGGAAAGUACUUUCAGCGGGAAGGCGUUACCCGCAGAGGAAGCACCGGCUAACUCCGUGCCAGCAGCCGCGGUAAUUC
rnacentral:rRNA from 1 species